GACGUAGGAUGCAAGCGUUGUCCGGAUUUAUUGGGCGUAAAGAGUUCGUAGGUGGUUCGUUAAGUCUGAUGUUAAAGACUGGGGCUCAACCCUGGAAGUGCAUUGGAUACUGGCGGACUUGAGUGUGGUAGAGGCAAUCGGAGUUCCAGGUGUAGCGGUGAAAUGCGUAGAUAUCUGGAAGAACACCGGUGGCGCAAGCGGAUUGCUGGGCCAUAACUGACACUGAGGAACGAAAGCUAGGGGAGCGAAUGGG
rnacentral:rRNA from 1 species